rnacentral:lncRNA from 10 species
GGAAAAGUGAGUACCGGCUAGUAUCGCGAGAUCAGGAAGGUGGCCGAGUGUGUCGCCGCGGCCAUCAGGCACUUCUCCUUCCUGCCCUUGUAUGAAGAAGGAUGUGUUUGCUUCCCCUUGUGCCAUGAUUGUAAAUUUCCUGAGGCCUCCUCAGCCCUGCAGAACUGGCUAGAGCAAUGUAUCUUAGGCUCACUUAAGGAAGCUGUAGAGAUGAGCCCAAGGAGGGAAACCAGAAGAGCCCCCCAGGCUCACCAGUUGUUUGUUGGCUCCCUACAAACAUGUCAUUCAAGUGGCUAAUCUUACAACAGCACAAAUUCAUCUAACCAGAAAGAGAAGAGGAGGCUCCAAAGGCACUUGACUACUGAGCAUCACCCUGGACGUGUACAAGUCUGCGUCCUUAUUGUUUUCUUCAUUGGGCCGAACUUUCUGGUCCUCAUCCAACAGCUCUUCUAUCACGUGUUCGAAAGUGUCAGCCAAUGAUGUCAAGCCUCUUGAACCUGCCUUGGGCCCAUUCACGCUCUCCAGAGUCCCAUGGGUCCGCACACCUGGAGAUACUCUAUUAUAGCAAAGAAGAAAGAUAAUUUCAUUGAGCCAUCCUGUUUUACAGGAAAUUCUGCAAGUGGCAACGUGGGUCCAUUCCGUGUGUGUCACUAGAGCUGGCGCAAGCCCAUGGCCAUGGUGAGGCAGCGUUUCCACUGGAACUAAUCUGAUACCUGCACCAGCUCUUGCAACUGUGCAGUGUUCCCACUGCAAACUACGGAUGGGGUAAAAGACUGCUCACCUCCUAUUUCUCAUCUAAUCUCACACACUCUGUUUGAUGAGGCUAUGGAGAAACAGGUCUUCUCAUACACUAAAGGUGGGAGUACAAACAAUUCAAGCCCUGUGCAGGACAAUUAGGCAAUACCUAUCAAAAUUAUACAUGAUUUUUCCUGCUGACCCAGCAAUUCCACUUCUGGGAAUAAUUGACAGAUAUAGGUGCAUAUGUACAAAAUGAUGGAAAGCUCUCUGGUAUAUAUUAGUAAGUGAUAAAACAAGGUGUAAAAUAGUGUAUAUAUGGCUACUACCUUUUGUUUUAAAAAUGGGGGAAAAUGGUGGAGCUUGCGGUGAGCCGAGAUCGUGCCACUGCACUCCAGCCUGGGCGACAGAGCGAGACUCCGUCUCAAAAAAAAAACAGGGUGGGGUGGGGGGGAAAUAAUAGUACAUACUCAUAUUUACCUGUAUCUAUAUAAAACACACUAUCAAGGAUUCACAAGAAACUAAUACAAAUGAUCACCUUAUAGAUGGUAUGUAUUGGGGGAUACUGAGGUGAGCAGGGUAUAAGUGGGGCAAGACUUUUCAGUGUAAACUUCUUUUAAAUUUUAUUUUGAUUUUUGAAUAAUGUAAAUUAACUGUCAAAUAAUUAAAUUAAAAAUAACCAAUUUAUUAACAAAA